CGCGUUGCAGUUUGUUACAACAUGGCGGAUAUAUCCGACAUCCAGAAAGAAGACCUGGACAACUCAGACGAGGCAAUGGAGAUCGACGAUGUCGACGACGAUGACGUCGAUUACAAUCGCAGUCCGAAUGCAUCUGGAAUGGAUAUAUGCAACAUGGGAGGAAGUGGUCACAAGGUCGGAAUAGACGAGGAGCUGUUUAAACUGCGACCGUACGUAACGCCGGACACGAUCUU